rnacentral:tRNA from 1 species
GGUUAGAUGGCCUAGUGGUUAAGGCAGCCCAUACAAGUUGGGUCCAAGUACAGACAUAAUACUUGGUUGCUGGUUUGGUUCCAGCUCUGACCA